UGCGCGCGUGCUCUCUUCUGUCUUUAUCAUGACAAUGUGUAUUUUCAAAGUCAAUAGUUGUUGAUCGUAGUCGUCUUAAAAUCACAUUCCUCACACAAGAAGCCUGGAAUCAAAAAGGAGGGUAAUAUCCAAUUCACUCAGUAGCCUACAAAGAAGAAGCAUGGGCUGUUGUGCAAGUAGUUGUUGUUUUUCAUGGGCGGUCGAUCUGUUAGAAGAACGAGUCAACCAACGAUUUCACGAUUCAAGCGCCAUCUUUGCGAAAGAAAUUUUCUGGGUCAAUCUUCAAUAUCUGAGGUCCAAUGGCUUUAACAAUCAAAUAAGAGGAAAUGGAGCCCUUGUUUUGACGGCGAAUCUGCUUUGGUUCACUUACGUUUUCCCAGAAAGGCAGAUAGAAAUGCUCAUUCAAAAUAUUCGAACCGUUAAAGUUGGUAGAGCUAGGGGAUUAUCUCGCGCUUUGAUAAUCGAUUUCGUCGACACCACCACUGGGAAGGACGACCAAGUGGUGUUUGCGAUCAGGCAUCCCAAAAGAUGGAAGAAGUGGAUUAACGAAACGGUUCAAACCUCAGAAAAUUCUAUGCCGCCUUCAUAUUGGUCUGUGUUCAACCCCCUUCAAAUGUGAAUAUGCAACAUCUCACUCGACUGUUCAACUGUUAGACAAUAUAACUGAUUAGUUACUAUCGACCGCUCUUGUGCAAGAGGCGCCAAACUCCUUGAACAGCGAAGGUUUCUUUUAUGUGCUGCUGAUUUGACAACUUCUAAUGCUUCACAUCUAAAUUACCAAAAAAGCUAAAAUCUUACUGAAAUUGUCUACGCUUGGAAGUUGGCGAUCAUUUAUCAAAGUGAAGGUUUGGCACACGUGGUCAAAGUCGCCUACUGUGCAGGGAAAAAAAAGUGUCAACCUUAGUUAGAGAUCUACGAAAUUAGAAGAUCUGAAUUCUCACUUUGAGCUCUGAUAGAAUAAAAUGGGAAAACUUUCUUGCCAGUA